rnacentral:misc_RNA from 1 species
GAAAUGCGAGACUUGGUGUGAAUUGUAGAAUCUCGCGAACCAUCGAGUUUUUGAACACAAGUUGCACCCGAAGCCAUUAGGUUGAGGGCACGUCUGCCUGGGCGUCUCACGUUGCAUCGCCCAUGCCCUCUCCCCCCCUCCCCCCGAUGGGGAAGAAGGGCUGCGAGCGGAUGUUGGCCCCCGCACGCGGUUGGACCAAAAGCGAGUCCCCCGCGACGGAGGACGAGUCGCGACGAGUGGUGGUUGACAAAUCGUUGCGCCGCCUCGCAUGCGUCCGCACUGUCUCGGGAGGCCUGUCGUGACCCUAUCGGGCCGCCGCUAAGGCACUCUGAUCGCGACCCCAGGCCAGGCAGGAUUACCCGCUGAGUUUAA